UGGGGAAUAUUGCGCAAUGGGGGAAACCCUGACGCAGCAACGCCGCGUGAGUGAAGAAGGCCUUUGGGUUGUAAAGCUCUUUCGGCCGGGAAGAAGGGUGAGGGUGUUAAUAGCACAUUCAUUUGAUGGUACCGGAAGAAGAAGCACCGGCUAACUUCGUGCCAGCAGCCGCGGUAAUACGAAGGGUGCGAGCGUUGUUCGGAAUUACUGGGCGUAAAGGGUUUGUAGGCUGAAAUGUAAGUCAAGUGUGAAAUCCCCGAGCUAAACUUGGGACGUGCAUUUGAAACUGUGUUUCUUGAGUAUCGUAGAGGGUGGUGGAAUUGUAGGUGUAGGAGUGACAUCCGUAGAGAUCUGCAGGAACAUCAGAGGCGAAGGCGACCACCUGGCCGAUUACUGACGCUGAGGAACGAAAGCGUGGGGAGCAAACAGG
rnacentral:rRNA from 1 species